CCUACGGGUGGCUGCAGUGGGGAAUAUUGGACAAUGGGGGGAACCCUGAUCCAGCCAUGCCGCGUGUGUGAAGAAGGCCCUCGGGUUGUAAAGCACUUUCAGUGAGGAAGAACGCCUGGUGGUUAAUACCCAUCAGGAAAGACAUCACUCACAGAAGAAGCACCGGCUAACUCCGUGCCAGCAGCCGCGGUAAUACGGAGGGUGCGAGCGUUAAUCGGAAUUACUGGGCGUAAAGCGCGCGUAGGUGGCUUGAUAAGCCGGUUGUGAAAGCCCCGGGCUCAACCUGGGAACGGCAUCCGGAGCUGUCAAGCUAGAGUGCAGGAGAGGAAGGUAGAAUUCCCGGUGUAGCGGUGAAAUGCGUAGAGAUCGGGAGGAAUACCAGUGGCGAAGGCGGCCUUCUGGACUGACACUGACACUGAGGUGCGAAAGCGUGGGUAGCAAACAGGAUUAGAUACCCGGGUAGUC
rnacentral:rRNA from 1 species